GGCGAACGCUGGCGGCGUGCUUAACACAUGCAAGUCGAACGGAAAGGCCCUGCUUGCAGGGUCCUCGAGUGGCGAACGGGCGAGUAACACGUGGGUGCUCUGCCCUGCACUUCGGGAUAGGCGUGGGAAACUGGGUCUAAUACCUGAUAGGACCGCCCUUUAGCGUGUGUGGUGGAAAGUUUUUUGGGUGUAGGAUGAGCUGGCGGCCUAUCGGCUUGUUGGUGGGGUAAUGGGCUACCAAGGCGGCGACGGGUAGCCGGCCUGUGAGGGUGUACGGCGACCUAGGGACUGAGAGACGGCCCAGGCGGGGACGGGAGGCAGCAGUGGGGAAGAUUGAACAAUGGGCGCAAGCCUGGUGAAGAGAGGCCGCGGGUGGGAUGAACGCCUUCGGGUUGAAGACACGCUGCGCGAGGGACGAAGCUUGUUGUGACGGUACCUAGAGAAGAAGCACCGGCUAACUACGUG
rnacentral:rRNA from 1 species